AACGAACGCUGGUGGCAGGCUUAACACACGCAAGUCGAGCGGGUGUAGCAAUACAUCAGCGGCAGACGGGUGAGUAACGCGUGGGAACGUACCUUUUGGUUCGGAACAACCCAGGGAAACUUGGGCUAAUACCGGAUAAGCCCUACGGGGAAAGAUUUAUCGCCGAAAGAUCGGCCCGCGUCUGAUUAGCUAGUUGGUGAGGUAAUGGCUCACCAAGGCGACGAUCAGUAGCUGGUCUGAGAGGAUGAUCAGCCACAUUGGGACUGAGACACGGCCCAAACUCCUACGGGAGGCAGCAGUGGGGAAUAUUGGACAAUGGGGGCAACCCUGAUCCAGCCAUGCCGCGUGAGUGAUGAAGGCCCUAGGGUUGUAAAGCUCUUUUGUGCGGGAAGAUAAUGACGGUACCGCAAGAAUAAGCCCCGGCUAACUUCGUGCCAGCCGCCGCCGUAACAC
rnacentral:rRNA from 1 species